AGACACUGAGAUAAAUGGUGGAGGCAGUGAGAAUGACUGAUGGAGUUUCAAGUGUGAAGUAAGUUGGGAAGGAAAACCCUUCCCCUUUGGUGGUCAGCUAACUACUCCUCCAGGAAGCCAUCUCUGAUUCCUACUCCAGCCCCCAAGGAAGAGGUAAGUUUUUAUGUCAU
rnacentral:lncRNA from 1 species